rnacentral:misc_RNA from 1 species
UUGGCGGGCUUUUUCCCUUCUUUAAAGUGGCUCUCCCUGUCCCUGUGGCUGUAGAUGAUGAAGGAGAAUUGCAGACGAAAAACUAUGCACGUGUUUGACUAUUUACGUGGUCAAACAUUAAUUUCAAUAAGAAUUUUUACAGGAAAUAAAACAUGAUAAAAAAGUUACAUUUGCAGACCCAUGUUACUGCACUGUGCAUCGUCAAACCGCAUUUUUUGCUAGAAGGUUGUGGCGGAUUUUUAAACCUGUAUAACUUGGAUUCCAAUGAGCUUUUGGAGAGUCUUGAUAUAUUCCGUGGAGCGAGAAUUCAUGGUAUUCAAUAUUCGUCCCAUAAUGAAACUGUUGUGGCUUUUGGUGGGAAGCUGCUAGCUGUUGUGACACUCAAUCGAUCUCAGUCUGCUGUUUCAAGGUUGAAGAUUUUGCAGAAAUCAAGUGAAACUGACUGGAUAAGGGAUGCCAAAUUUGUUAAUGAUGGAGAUUACCUUGUGACAUUAACUUCCCAUAACAAAGUCUUAAUCCAGAAAACUACCUCCAAAGCUGAAAUCAUUGAAGUACAAGGCGAUGAGCAAUGCAUAUUGUAUUGUGGUAAAAUACUAGGAGAUCAUCUUUCACAGUUGACCAUUCUAGCUGGGACUGUGUUUGGGAACAUCCUCGUUUGGGCACCAUCAACGUCUCAAAAGGAUAAACACCUCUUUCACAGAUUAACAGGUCACAAUGGUGUCAUCUUCUCUAUAAACUAUGAUGAAAUUUCUCAAACAAUCAUAUCAACGUCAGACGACAGAUCAGUUCGCACUUGGAGUCUUCUAUUUGAAGAUGAGAAACCCAGCAGUUUUAACCUCUGGAGCCUGUUCCAGCGAGCGAAAAUCCAGGCCAAGUAUGAACUUUAUGGUCAUGAAGCCCGCGUUUGGAAUAGCGUCGUUAUGCGUCAAAAUCAGGGUGACUCUGCGCUCGUAGCCAGUUUAGGUGAAGAUUCUCGCGUUUGUCUUUGGGACUUAACGAGCGGCACUUUGUUUUCCAAAUUUGAUGCUCAUCCUGGAACAAGCGUUUGGGCCGCUGUAUGGGAUCAAUUACGAAAAUUAUUGGUUACUGCCGGAGGAGACGGAUCCACUAGAAUUUGGAAUGUCAAUCAUUUACAGGAAACAACUUGUCGUCAGCUGAAGCUUCCUGAAGAGGGCCAGGUUCCUCGUUUAGUUGUCGUUACAUCUACUGGUUACUACCGCUACUUGGUCUUCAGUCAACAGGGCAUCAUCUACGGAUGGAAUACAGAUACCCAGCUUUGGACGUCACUCUUCCAGGACGAAAGGCUCGGCAAUGGCAGUGUCUUGGAUUCAGACGGCCGUACGGUUAUAUUUGGAACACGUACUGGGGCUGUAUUCGUGUUCGUUUCCGGUCCUUCGUUGGAAUUGCUUACGACACAUCAACUGGAAAAAUCGAAAAUUUAUAGCGUUCAUUUGGUCGCAUCAGGGCAGUUUAUGGCGUGUCUGGAUAACGGUCGUUUGUUGCUUCUGAAUAUUUUUGAUGGCAAUGACUCGGAACCAAAGACCCGAUUCUUUCUGCCUGAAGGCAAACAGCGUUGGCCAAGUUGUAUUUUGGCCACCCAAAGUCGAUUCAUGAUGGGCGAUCGUGAAGGAAGCCUUCAUCUUUAUUCAACCAAAAAAGAGACUCCUCUUCAAUCGUUUCUGAAUAUCCAUGGCAAAAAUGGCUUGACUGAUAUCAAGAGUGAUCCUCUCGGUCGAAAUCUUUAUUACACAUCGGGAAGAGAUGGUCGUGUAGGUCUUUGGCAUUUAACUGACGACCAAAAUAAGCUGGAAUUGCUGUCACUUACUAACACGAGCCUUGGCUGGAUUGCUCGUUUGCGCUGGAUCAAUCAUCAGUUAACAUACCUGGCUUUUCAAAGCGAUCGAUUCGUUGUGUGGUCGAGCCAGCAACAGAGAAGUCUUAUGCAAGUGCCCUGUGGUGGAGGUCACCGUUCUUGGGACUUUGACGUUACAUCUGACGUCACGCUCCUAUUCAUCAAGGACAAGCAUAUCUAUGAGCAUAGACGCCCAUUGAGUGGCGUUUUCAGCUCUUCUUUGCCCGGCCGCUGCGGAGGACAUAGUAAAUCAGUGUGUCGGGGCAGGUUUAUCGGAUUUAAUGAGCCACUCAUCUUGACUGGAAGUGAAGACACCACAAUGAGAUUGUCUCGUUUGGAAAAGCGAUCCGCUCAAUCUUUGACCAUCAUAACCAAACACGUGUCCAGUGUAAGAGCUCUGGCUGUAAAACAACUUGGCGAUCGAUCUGGAACGUGGCUGAGUGUUUCAGCCGGAGGCAGAGCGCAGUUAUCUGUCGGAUUACUGACACUAUCUGGCCAGGGAGAUCAAAUUCACGUCAUUCACCAUGAUGUACGUACGCAUUUUCUAAGGGGUUGGCUUCGCAGAACGACGAAUAAGCCCUGGAUUCAUUGCGGUGAUCAUCCGUCACUCAUACCUGACCCUGAAACCCGCUACAUGGACGUUGAUGUAGUAGACCGUGGCGAUAGGAACUUCCACAUUAUCGCCGCGUGUUCUGAUAGCUUUAUAAGGAUUUUUAGUUUAGCCCUGGACGGUUGUCGAUUGGAUUUGUUCCACGAAUUGAGCUUCCACAACUGUUGCGUAUUGCAAGUGAAAGUGGUGGCCGAUGCGUAUGGAAAUUCCAUCCUUUUUUCGACAGGGACAAAUGGCCGACUCGCUGUAUGGAACAUCACUUUACUGGAAGAAGAUAAAGGAAUAGAACCCAUAGGCAGCCUUCAGGUCCAUCAAUCGGGGAUCAAUAGUUUGGACUGUCAGUGGGUGGACGUUGAUCGUAUGUUAAUUCUGACGGGAGGCGAUGACAACGCCUUGAUUUGCACCCAAGUCGAGAUCAGCUGCGAGAGGAAUGUGUUGGAAUUAAUCGAUCAGCAAAAGCAGUUCCCCCACGCAGCACAGAUUUCUGGAGUGGCCAUGUUGAGCAACAAUUUAUGCGUGAGCGUAUCACUGGACCAGCGUCUGAUACUCUGGAAGCAACGAGACACUCAGCUGACGUGUCUGUCCACCAUUUGCUGUGAUGUAUCAGACAUUCAAGGGCUGGAUGUAUUUCCAGGUACGACCAAAAGUUUGGUCAUGGUUUAUGGUCAAGGUAUUCAAGUCUUUGAAGUGGACGACUCGACUAGCGUUAUUCAAAAUUUAGAGUAUCCAUCUGCCACAAUUGUCGACCCAUUAUCCGCUUAAGUUGUAGCACUUUGCAGGUGUUUUAUGUGGCCAUUGCGUUUCAAAUGCUUGGCUACCGUUACGUUUGCUGUUGUCCAUCGUUUGAUGACUUGAUUCUUUCAUUUUCUGUUCAAAAUUGAAAAGAACGACGUUACUAUCCGAUGACGUGGCAAAACGGUGAAGAAAAUGGAUCGUUUGAAGGGAUUUUCUUGCGUCAUUGCAAAAGAAAAAAAAACAAGUUUCAGGAAUGGAAUUAUUCUGGGCGGUUUUGUAUUUACGAAAAUGAAAGAGGAGAUUCCAAAUAUGGAGGAAAAUGUUGAAAGGGGCGGGUCGUGAUAACAUCCGCAACACGCCAGCUUGUUUGACAGGUUUUACCAGUGCACUUGGAGAAAGGCCUUUUUAUUAUUUUUAUUUUCAUCAUUAUUAUUGUUUGUAUGCAUGUACAACAGCCGCACAAGACCAUGGCGCACCCAAUUUACAUUUAUUCAGCCUUGGGUUGUGUUCAGGCCCAUGCUAGAUGGAAACAAAAAUCAUUAACAUAAUAAUCCAAUUUGACUUUUGUGGGUUUUUAAAUUGCACCUGGGCAUUCUUGCCGGGUGGGGAAGAAUGAUUUUUUCCUCCCCCUGCAUGCAGCGCGCACAGGUACGAAAUGCCAAGAUGAUUCGAUUUCGACGACCUCCAAAUCUAAUGAAAAAGGAAAAUAAACACGCCUUGGAAGGUUGGUGCCGUCCUUUUAAGGAUUUCGAGCGUUAUAUUUACAUCGUUUCCACCCAAUUGGCCUUAAAUGGACAGCCCAAACGUCACUUCCAACGGAAUCGUUGAUCGUUUUACCGUCUUUUUUUUUUCUUCAAAAAGAUGAUGCCCUGGAACGAGAGACUUUCUGUCGCCCCAAAAUCUCCUCCAUCUAGACGUGUUGAAUAGCGUCACGACGUAAUAAUAAA